rnacentral:rRNA from 1 species
GACGAACGCUGGCGGCGUGCUUAACACAUGCAAGUCGAACGGAAAGGCCCUGCUUUUGUGGGGUGCUCGAUUGGCGAACGGGUGAGUAACACGUGAGUAACCUGCCCUUGACUUUGUGAUAACUUCAGGAAACUGGGGCUAAUACCGGAUAGGAGCUCCUGCUGCAUGGUGGGGGUUGGAAAGUUUCGGCGGUUGGGGAUGGACUCGCGGCUUAUCAGCUUGUUUGUGGGGUAGUGGCUUACCAAGGCUUUGACGGGUAGCCGGCCUGAGAGGGUGACCGGCCACAUUGGGACUGAGAUACGGACCAGACUCGUACGGGAGGCAGCAGUGGGGAAUAUUGCACAAUGGGCGGAAGCCUGAUGCAGCAACGCCGCGUGCGGGAUGACGGCCUUCGGGUUGUAAACCGCUUUCGCCUGUGACGAAGCGUGAGUGACGGUAAUGGGUAAAGAAGCACCGGCUAACUACGUG